rnacentral:rRNA from 1 species
GACGAACGCUGGCGGCGUGCCUAACACAUGCAAGUCGAGCGAGUGGAUCUCCUUCGGGAGUGAAGCUAGCGGCGGACGGGUGAGUAACACGUGGACAACCUGCCUCAUAGAGGGGAAUAGCCUUUCGAAAGGAAGAUUAAUACCGCAUAAGAUUGUAGCUUCGCAUGAAGUAGCAAUUAAAGGAGCAAUCCGCUAUGAGAUGGGCCCGCGGCGCAUUAGCUAGUUGGUGAGGUAACGGCUCACCAAGGCGACGAUGCGUAGCCGGCCUGAGAGGGGGAAGGGCCACAUUGGGACUGAGACACGGCCCAGACUCCUACGGGAGGCAGCAGUGAGGAAUAUUGCACAAUGGGGGAAACCCUGAGGCAGCAACGCCGCGUGAGUGAUGCCGGCCUUCGGGUUGUAAAGCUCUGUCUUCAGGGAGGAUAAUGACGGUAACUGAGGAGGAAGGCACGGCUAACUACGUGCCAGCAGCCGCCGUAA